AAUAAUGGGGGAAUCGGACCGCCAGCGCUACGAUUAGUGGACAAGCCGCUCUACCACCUGAUCCACACACAGAGUCGUCUCAGAGAGUGAUUCGUUCAUUUCUGACCGCGCAUGCGCUGAAACAUCUCCAUAGGUUCUGUACCGGAAACAGACGUUAUUAUUUCAUCUCUCGAGUCUUCGGGUUCGAGUCUUUCGUUCACCCGGUGACCGCCGCAUAGGCAAUGCACCAUGCAGUACCGAAAACAGGAUGAACGAAGAGCUCGAACCGGAAGACUCGAGAGGUGAAGUACUCAUUUCUGAAAGAAGGAGUCGGAUCAGGAGGGACUACUGAACAGACAUUUACAAGUAUAAAGCUGCGUGCAGAAAAUGAAGAAUUGUUUACAGAUGCAAAGAAUUCUGCAACUGAAGGUUUCAGGACGCCUGUGAGGAGUAAAUUCAACCUCCUAUUGGUAACUCAGAGUUAACUCGCGCACAUGUUGAGGACAUAAAGACAUUGUCAAUGGAUUGCUGAUAUCAGGAGUCACCAUGGAAACCCAGGGUGCAAUCCUUCUGGACCCAGAAGAACUUGGAGCCGAGUCAAAAUGAAGCACAAAAACAUUCUCCAAAAAGGUAAUAUUUCCUAAACUGUAAUCUAAAUAACUGUCCCAACCAUUAUCUUCACUCACUCCGACUGAGCAGCUGUAAGCUCGUUUUAUUUUACUGCAUUAAGGUGUGUACUGUCAUCUUAACUGUAAAUGCCCCUUAUGUCUUUCUAUAUUAGUUGUAUUUGUUUGAGAACGUACACUGAGAAUCUAACUGGUUUCAUUUUCUUACAAUU